rnacentral:misc_RNA from 1 species
GUUGAAGAAACGUGCAUUGAAGUAACUUAAUAUGAUUCCAAGAUUCAUCUGCACCACACCCAACAAAAUAGACAUCUUCAUCUUAAGGGAAUUCAAGAAAGGAAGCUCCGAACGGCUACCUCUCCAGCUUGGAUCCACACCAAAAGGAUAAGGAUCGCUGUAUUUUAUUAACCCCACUGUUUGCGCAUCACUGCAUGAAGCAUCUCGGCAUUUGUAUGCAGAGCCACCAAAAAUAUGAAACGGAACAGAGAAGAACUCAUUAUAUAUCAAGCCACAGUAAAUUGAAAAUAUUGACAUUAACAGGAGCACAUAACGACCG